AAUCUAAUUCCUACUCUUCUUUAGCAUUCAAAUACCAUUCUAAUACUUAUUCCGAUUUUGAUCAUGGAUCAAAUAUAUCAAAAAAUAUGAUCAUUCUGAUUCCAUUCCAAUUCAUCUCUAUUCCGGCACCAAUUCUAAUUUUGGUUGCAAAUCAAAUGCCCCCAGCAUCCUUUGCGGGCUGCGUGGAUUACACAUAACUAUGGUC
rnacentral:lncRNA from 1 species